UUCUGCAGAGACUGCCAGACUAGGGACCGGGAGAGGUGUGGGGUACUCUAGGGGUAGGGGUAAAAUCCUGUCAUCCUUAGAGGACCACCAGUUGCGAAGGCGCCACACUGGAACGGAUCCGACGGUCAGGGACGAAGCCUAGGGGCACGAACCGGAUUAGAUACCCGGGUAGUCCUAGGUGUAAACGCUGUGAACUUGGUGUCGGGAGUCCGCAAUGGGCCCCCGGUGCCGGAGUGAAGAUGUUAAGUUCACUGCCUGGGGAGUACGGUCGCAAGGCUGAAACUUAAAGGAAUUGGCGGGGGAGCACUGCAACGGGAGGAGCGUGCGGUUUAAUUGGAUUCAACGCCGGAAAACUCACCAGGGCCGACUGUUAUAUGAAGACCAGCGUAAUGAGCUUGUCGGAUUUUCAGAGAGGUGGUGCAUGGCCGUCGUCAGUUCGUACUGUAAAGCGUUCUGUUAAGUCAGAUAACGAACGAGACCCUCAUCUCUAUUUGCUACCCGUCUCUCCGGAGGCGGCGCACUAUAGGGAGACCGCUGGUGUUAAACCAGAGGAAGGCGAGGGCAACGACAGGUCAGUAUGCCCCGAAUGUCCUGGGCUACACGCGCGCUACAAAGGACGGGACAAUGGGAAGCCAGGCCGAGAGGCCGAGCUACCCCGAAACCCGUUCAUAGUUCGGAUCGUGGGCUGUAACUCGCCCACGUGAAGCUGGAUUCCGUAGUAAUCGUGUUUCAAUAUAGCACGGUGAAUAUGCCCCUGCUCCUUGCACACACCGCCCGUCAAACCAUCUUAGUUGGGGGUGGGUGAGGCUGCGCUUGCUUCGGCAUGGCGUAUUCGAGCCUGUCUUCGACAAGGAGGGUUAAGUCGUAACAAGGUAUCUGUAGGGGAACCUGCAGAUGGAUCACCUCCU
rnacentral:rRNA from 1 species